AUGCUAUUAUGGUCUGUGACCCUCCAAUCAGUGCCUUGCGGCUGCGGCGGCAACACCAAUCCGGAUCCAGGAAAAUAUGUAAACAGGAAGUAUGUAAACACAUGGCCCUACGCGUUGUGGAUUAUCAUGCCUGCCUACCUGUCAUUAAUUAGCCAUGGAUGUCAGGCGAUUUUUUUAAGAGACCUUCGAGUGCUCCCACUCUCCAACAGAUUCCCGAAAAAGGCCUCAAGUACAAAACAGAUCUUGCUUGCAUCAAAUGCUGCUUUGAGGGUCACUCAACACGGAUGCUUCCUGUUGCAUCCAGGAGGCCACCGGACCACUCACCACAGGAGCUGAUGCACAUUCUUCUGCUGAACUUUACACCGUUGUCCCACCAUCCACUGAACUGAACACCAUUCAGACUCAUGGCUUUAUCAGGUAGAGAAUGAAUGAUUACAAACCACCAAUACAUCAGCAAAUCUUUUUUCGUGCGUUUUCUAAAUAGUGUGAGCAGUGAACACAAACGAAUUUCACAGAAUUUCUGACAUAUCUCUCGACUAGUACCUAGAAUUUGAGUAUCUAUUUCUGUCAGUAAUAAUUGAUUGUUACCACAACAGCUCUUCAUAGUGUGGGUGGGGGUGAAAGAGUUUCUGUGUUCAUGUGUGUGAUGGAUGAUGUUCUGACUGGUCUGUCCCCACCCCCACUCCGCAGCAGUGACAUGCGUGUGGUGUGUAGAGACUCCAACGGUUGUGUCAGUGUUCUCUCGCUAACGGCGCCGGGGCUAGAGACCACGGCCCAGUGGAAGGCUCUGAGGCCUGGAUCACAGCCAUCUCCUUCUAGGACACCCAGCUGCUCUACUCAGGUAACCCCCCCCCCCACACACACACACGCCACCGGUUUCACUCACUUUUAGAAGUGGGGCAGGGUAGGCUAAAGUCAGAUAACAUGAAUUCAGACUUAUAGAUUUUAUUAUAAAAAACAAUACUUUAUAAUUUUUUUUAUUUUUUUUUAUUUGAGCUGCUAUAAUGCCGUUUCCCCUCGGUGAUGAAUGAAGUACAUAUGUAUUUAUGUAUCUAUCAAUAUAGUUGUUGGGGUGUUUGUCUCCCAGCUGAAAAAGUAUUGGAAUCAACCACCAAUGUCGCUGGAGAGGGAGGCCCAGAAAGGGCCAUCAAGGCCUCAAUUCAGUCAAACUACAGGAGUCGGAUGAUAAGCAUAUUAACUAAAGUGUGUGUGUGUGUGUGUGUGUGUGUGUGUGUGUGUGUGUCACAGCAAGCUGAAAGGCUGGGACCCCAGGAUGGAGCUCUCCUCUCCCACUUUCACCAGCAAGAGGUAAAUAAACAGCCCUAGCUAGCUCACUAAUUACCUAUCUUAGCCUUUUGGAGAAAACGCCACUUUCUGACUCUUAAAACCUAUGUUGGGUCAUCUGCUGUCUCACCUCCGUUUCAGUUAAGAAGUCAUAGAAUAGGUAUUUAGAUAUUUGAUAUUUUUUAUAUUAGUAAAGUGAGGAUCUAAAAAUGUAACAUAUCACGUUUCGGAUGAUCACAGAGGGGUAUAUGCACUACACGUCUACCAAAUAUCUUGUCAGGACAAUGCCAAUGUCAAUCAAUAUACUGAAAUAACACGAGGUUUACUAAUUUUCUUAUGCUUACUGCACAUCUUGAUAUCUUUUAAUAACAUAAUUAUAAGGAAAUCAUUAACAAAUUGACACACUUGUACGUUCAGUAAUAUGGCCGUCUGGUCAACCUCGGACAUUUCAACACACUAACUCAAUCACGUAACUAAAUCAUUUUUCAACCGUUCUCCAUCGUUCAAACCAUUAAAAAUAUUUGUAUCUUCACUAAUAUCUAAACAAAAUUUUGUUUAGAUAUUGGACCCCUUUGAUAAUGAGCACGCCAUAUAUGGAUACCAAUAUAAUUGAUGGGGUGUCAGAUGUGUGACGGCCCUCUGACUGUCUUUGUGUAACUUGGGGCAUCUCUGCUCCGCCCCGUCUUUCUCUCCUCUCAGGAAUUCUGAUGGCUAACAGACUAGUAGCGUGCACCAAUGUGCGUGGUGUUAAACCCUUGAUUGGCGUUCGUGGAGACACUUGUUAAGUUUAAAAAUAAUUGUUAAACUUGGUCUAUUUUGUUCUGUUUGGUGUCUGGACGAGAGAGGGGAGCAUUUCUUUUGUUUUGCACAGCCUUCACAUAGUGUUAAUUUGUGCUUUUUAUGUAGCUUGGGGCAAGACGCAGCACUUGGACUCACCGUUGUGCACUCAAAAUUGCGGGGCUUCCCUGUAGGUUUACGGCUUCAUCCCUUUGGGUGUUGCUGAGCGCUGCCAGUAGUGUUGUGGUGACCGCGGUUAGCAGCAGUUGUCUCGGGGGCACAUCCAUGGGCUUGGGGGGAGGCGCCAGCGUGCUGGUCUUCUUUUCCACCCCAUGGGCUUCAGUGCAUAAAUACCUGCUGCCAGUAGCCACAUGAAGACUAGGGUUGAGCUUAGUAAGAAAGAUUUUGGUAUAGGUAGUCAGCUAGAGGGAACGCAUCGUCUGCGAGGUGGUCAUGUGCCUCUAGUGCCCAGCGGAGGUGUCGCUUGGUCUGCGCUCUUGUGCCCAUAUACAUUAUGCACUGGUUCAUUAAGCUAUUCAGGCUGAGUCAUGGCUUGCAUAUAAAUGUUUUUUGAAGCUCCUUCCGAGGAGUUACUGGAAUGAUUUACUAAGGCUAAAUUAUUACAAAAUGACGGGCAUUUCAUGAACUGAAAAGAAAAAAGAGGAUGUUAAAGAAUGUCUAAUAGCAAAUCUUGCAAAAGGUGACAUUUUGCCUAGGUCUGUCUUGUCUUCUCUCCCAGCGUUGUAAAGGAGCUGCCUCCGCCUGUGUCAAAGGUUGACCAGACGGCUUCAAUAAUAUCUAAACAGAAUUUUGAUAUCAUUUAUACUUUUUUCCGAUUCACAGUUUUAGUUUCAUACCGGAUUCGUUUUCAGUUGGUUCAGGACCCUCCCAGACGGGGGACUAGGAGGUCCUGGACCCCUUUUUGAUAUUGAUACGUUAAAACGAUGUUAACAAGACAUCCACCUUAACGAACCAUGUCGCUGGGGUGUCGGAUGGGAAAAGGGCAACGAAAUCAUGCUAUUUGAGGAAUUGGCAAAGGGAAUAGAGGAGGGGAAUUCAUACAGAAUAAAACAUUUUGGGUGGAGCAACUACGGGGACAUCAGAGUGAUGCUCACAAGGCAUCAGACCGUGGCCUAUAUCGCUGGCGCGGUCGAAGUCCCCGCCCACCUGGAGGCAGAGGCUCGGGACUUAAUAUGUCCCGAGUCAAUGCUCGUCUUACUUCUUUGACCCAGCCCUGAACAGUCACCAGUGUAAUGUCCUCGACCUCUACCAUCUCUCGCAGAGGGACGAGCAUUGACUCGGGUUCAGGACCCUCCCAGACAGGGAGAAGGAGGUCCUGGACCCCUUUUUCGGAGCAUCACUCUGAUGUCCCUGUAAUUGCUCCACCUUCUCUAUCCCCAUUAUAUAUUAAUUUCCUGUAGGUUAUCAAUGGAGACAAGGGGGUCCAGGUCAUGGGGUACAGGACCCUCCCAGACGGGGAGAAGGAGUUCCUGGACCCCAGUGACAAUGAACACGUCAUUCCACAGGCCAUGUGGGAUGCAGUCAUUGGCAAGACCGUCCCAGCCAUACCUUUCCAUUUAUUAUUUACAUUUGAAAGGGCAAAAUUACUCCAAAUUAAUUUAAGAGAGGAGUAGUCAAAACAUUUUGUUGUUUUACUGACAUUAAAUCAUUAUUUACAUUAUUAUUAUUGACCCCUUUUGAUAUUGAUACGUUAAAACAAUGUUAACGAGACCUAACAGUCGCAUACAUCACUGUCCCUGUUAAGAUUGUGACUUUAAUAGAGCAAAAGAGGGUCCAGGAGAGGCAAAUGACAGCAAAGGAUGCAUUGGCUGGCACCACAAAUACUAACGUCGUCGCUGGGGUGUCGGAUGGGAAAAGGGCAACUCAAUUCAUUGUAUUUGGAGAAUUGGCAAAGGGGAUAGAGAAGGUGGAGCAAUUACAGGGACAUCAGAGUGAUGCUCACAAGACAUCAGACAGAGUCGCCUACAUCACUGCCCCUGUACAAGUCCCCGCCCACCUGGUGGCAGAGACCCGGGACUUGGUAUGUCCCGGGUCAAUGCUAAUCAGUCUGUCGUAGCUUGGUAUCUCCCGGGGAGGCAACUUCAAACCAUUAGAGGUUGGCCUCCCUAUAAGAGUUACACAUAUGCGGCCCAGAAGGAGCAGCUAGGGUCUCUCCUCCAGUAAACAAGACACACUUGUUUGUCCAGGUCGUAGCGUUCAGGACCCUCCCAGACGGGGAGAAGGAGGUCUAUUUUAUGUAUUAAAGAAAGAUAUUGGGAUUAUUAAAAGGCAUGAAUCACUGAACCACGCACAAAAAGGUUAAAAUCAAGCAAUUACCAAACGUAUUAACUAUAUAUACUUUACAUCAGGGCUUCAACAUCAAAUCAAUUGUUAAAUUGGUGUUGGCAAUGAAUUUCAUUAUCCAUCCAUUAAAUGAUUUGGUGAGAUGUUUUUCAGAAUGGUCACUCAUAGCCAGAGCACUUAAAAUGUACACCAGCAGCAGGUGAGGUGGGUGGGGUGGGGCGCCACUUUAGACGCCACACCGUCUCACUGAUGGGCUGAUGCAUGCUCCUAGAAAUGCAAUUCCUGAAGGUAUUGAAUGGUAUUGUUACUUUGGAGAAUUUGAAUAUUUAUUACGCUCAGUAAUAACGAUUGAUUCAGCAAAGCAGGGUGUCCUACUCCCACCUCCCAACAUCCUGCACAACUGGAGUUGUCUUUUUAAAAAUCCAACAAAUAUCUCCAGUCUUUUUUUCUCUAAAUAACUUGUGUCUUGGGCUACUUUCAGGUUU
ensembl:lncRNA